UUACGGCCAUAUCAAUUUGGAACAACGGCUCCCGUAAUGUCACCGAAGUUAAGCAAUGUCAAGCCUGUUCAGUAUCUAGAUGGGCGACCGCUUGGAAAUACCAGGUGCUGUAA